GAUCAUCCUGGAAAUGUACCUAAUAGCAAUUCGCGAAAUUAUUAUUGCUAACAGCUCAGCAAUUUUAUUGACGUUCAAGAAGAAUUUUAUUGAGAUACGCGGAUAUUUCUGUGAUUCUCAAAUCCAAACAGCUUCAAUAAGUAAGAAUGUGAACUUAUAUUGGAAUGAAAGCCUGCAGUAUUCGUAAUACACCUCUGUUAGCUUUUGAAACCAUCUUCGUGAUUAAAUCAAAAAUAGUUAAGCUAUAAACUUUUUUAUUGCUGUAAUCUUCUAUAAAGUAAAUCUGAAAUGAAAUCUUCUACAAACGUUGAUGUAUAGCCUAAAAAAUAACUUAUAUUAAAAGAUUCAAGAGCGGAAUGAUCGAGUUAGCUGGGAUAUUGGAAUCUAUUUGCCUGUGAAACACAAAUGCAACCUAUCGUUCCUCGGUUACAUUGGGCACGUGAUUGUAACACUGCUCACAUGAAGCGUUUAGCAUUAAAUCGCGACGCCAACGAGCGCGUAAGCUUGUGUAAUUGAGGCUGCCACCAUGCGAGUGCCUAGAGUAUGUACUGUUCUUAUCAAUCCUAUUUUAUACGUAGUCUAUAUAAUAUCCUAUGCAAGCAAUUCUAUUAUAUUUUGAAUAGCAGA
rnacentral:misc_RNA from 1 species